UACGGGGGGGGGCAAGCGUUGUUCGGAAUUACUGGGCGUAAAAGGGCGUGUAGGCGGCCAACUAAGUCCGACGUGAAAUCCCCAGGCUUAACCUGGGAACUGCGUCGGAUACUGGAUGGCUUGAAUUCGGGAGAGGGAUGCAGAAUUCCAGGUGUAGCGGUGAAAUGCGUAGAUAUCUGGAGGAAUACCGGUGGCGAAGGCGGCAUCCUGGACCGACAUUGACGCUGAAGCGCGAAAGCUAGGGGAGCAAACGGG
rnacentral:rRNA from 1 species